rnacentral:rRNA from 1 species
AGUGAACGCUGGCGGUAGGCCUAACACAUGCAAGUCGAACGGCAGCACAGUAAGAGCUUGCUCUUACGGGUGGCGAGUGGCGGACGGGUGAGGAAUACAUCGGAAUCUACUUUUUCGUGGGGGAUAACGUAGGGAAACUUACGCUAAUACCGCAUACGACCUACGGGUGAAAGCAGGGGAUCUUCGGACCUUGCGCGAUUGAAUGAGCCGAUGUCGGAUUAGCUAGUUGGCGGGGUAAAGGCCCACCAAGGCGACGAUCCGUAGCUGGUCUGAGAGGAUGAUCAGCGACACUAGAGCUGAGACACGGUCCAGACGCCUACGGGAGGGAGCAGUGGGGAAUAUUGGACAAUGGGCGCAAGCCUGAUCCAGCCAUACCGCGUGGGUGAAGAAGGCCUUCGGGUUGUAAAGCCCUUUUGUUGGGAAAGAAAAGCAGCAGGUUAAUACCCCGCUGUUCUGACGGUACCCAAAGAAUAAGCACCGGCUAACUUCGUG